AUUGGUAUCAGGAACGCACUCAGGCCUCUUUUAUAUAAGACCGAUUGACGUUUUGAAUUAACAGUGUUUUAGCAGUAAUAAUAAAGGAGGCCUAGUGUAAUGACAGGUAAAGUAAAAUGGUUUAAUGCUGAAAAAGGAUUUGGAUUUAUUGAAAGAGAAGAUGGUGACGAUGUUUUCGUACACUUCACAGCAAUCCAAAGCGAAGGAUUCAAGACUUUAGAAGAAGGACAAGAAGUUGAAUUCGACAUCACUGACGGAAACAGAGGACCACAAGCGUCUAACGUUACUCGUAAGUAAUAAACCAUAAAAAAGGGGGGCUCUAUUGAAUUGAGAGCCCCUUUUGUU
rnacentral:other from 1 species